rnacentral:rRNA from 1 species
CUUAGAGUUUGAUCCUGGCUCAGGACGAACGCUGGCGGCGCGCCUAACACAUGCAAGUCGAACGAGCGAGAGAGAGCUUGCUUUCUCGAGCGAGUGGCGAACGGGUGAGUAACGCGUGAGGAACCUGCCUCAAAGAGGGGGACAACAGUUGGAAACGACUGCUAAUACCGCAUAAGCCCACGGCUCGGCAUCGAGCAGAGGGAAAAGGAGUGAUCCGCUUUGAGAUGGCCUCGCGUCCGAUUAGCUAGUUGGUGAGGUAACGGCCCACCAAGGCAACGAUCGGUAGCCGGACUGAGAGGUUGAACGGCCACAUUGGGACUGAGACACGGCCCAGACUCCUACGGGAGGCAGCAGUGGGGAAUAUUGCACAAUGGGGGAAACCCUGAUGCAGCGACGCCGCGUGGAGGAAGAAGGUCUUCGGAUUGUAAACUCCUGUUGUUGGGGAAGAUAAUGACGGUACCCAACAAGGAAGUGACGGCUAACUACGUGCCAGCAGCCGCGGUAAAACGUAGGUCACAAGCGUUGUCCGGAAUUACUGGGUGUAAAGGGAGCGCAGGCGGGAAGACAAGUUGGAAGUGAAAUCUAUGGGCUCAACCCAUAAACUGCUUUCAAAACUGUUUUUCUUGAGUAGUGCAGAGGUAGGCGGAAUUCCCGGUGUAGCGGUGGAAUGCGUAGAUAUCGGGAGGAACACCAGUGGCGAAGGCGGCCUACUGGGCACCAACUGACGCUGAGGCUCGAAAGUGUGGGUAGCAAACAGGAUUAGAUACCCUGGUAGUCCACACCGUAAACGAUGAUUACUAGGUGUUGGAGGAUUGACCCCUUCAGUGCCGCAGUCAACACAAUAAGUAAUCCACCUGGGGAGUACGACCGCAAGGUUGA